CACACAGAGAGAGACCUACAGAGACAGAGGCAGAGAAAGACAGAGUGCAAAGAGAAACAGAGAGAAGAGGAGAGGAAAGGGGAGAGAGAGAGGACUGGCAGAGCAAGCCUGGAAGCUGAGACACAGACAGACAGUAAAGAGAGACUGGCCCUGGACCCCAGCCGGGGAGGUGGAGCUGCGGACCAGGCCAGAGCGAGGAAGUUUUCCAAAAAGCAUUUAAGCUGUUGCGUCAGUGAUUACGCCCUUGGCCUCCUCCAGGGAAUGACAGUCCUGAGUGAUGGGUGGAAGGAAAUAGAUGUGCAAAAUGCAUGCAUUUUUUCAAAUGGGGCGGCAGGCCUAAAUGUCAGCAGGCACAGUAGAACCCUGGCCGCCAGCUGCACCUGACCUUGGGGGCGAGCUUCCACAGCCGCUUCCUCUGCGUCGCCCCUGCUCUUCCCCCUCUUUCCUCCCAUCCUGUCCCAGCAGCUGCCAGCUCAUGAGGGGCCCUUGUAGUCCCUAACCCAGGCCCCCAUACCUUCCUGCCUCUUACUCCAUUGGGCCUGGAGUUCCCAGAGCUACAGACAAAAGGUCUUCGAGGAAUCUUUCUCUAAACUGCUUCUCCCCUCCAACUCCCCAAAUUUGACCUCCUCCAGGGACCAUCCUUUCCUAACCACAGGAAAAGCCCUUCCUUAAAUCCUUUAAAGCCUAGGCUUAGGGGAUUGGGCUUCUGCUUUAAGAGGCGCAUGGCAGAGCCAUCAAGCAUGGGGACCCAGCCUGUGUCUGAAAUCACUGUCAGCUCAGUCACUCACUAUUUCCAUGGCUUCGGCACUUUACUAACUUCUCCAUGCCUCUACUUCCUCUUUUGUAAAACGGGGAUGCCGAGGUCCAUGGCAUUCACUUCGGAGAAUUAAAUACAUGAAGAUGUGGAACAUCCUUAGAACAGUGCCUGGCACAUGCAGCCUGAACAGAACUGCUGUGCAGGAAGAGAAAUGAAGACAGAGACCAUCCAGCGAGCCCAGUGCUCAAAGCCCCAACGGAUCCACUCCUGACCCUGGAGGUGACCCCAAGCCAAGCCCUGGGGAUGCUCUUAGAGCUUCCUCUCCCAGCGCAGGCAGCUGACUUCACCCAUCCGGGAAUGGUCUUCAUUUAAUGAAGAGGCAGUCAGGGCUGAAAGGUGGUGAGCGGGCAGGAGGCGUCUGCUGGAGCUCCGUGGCAGUGCAGCUGCAGAGCCGCAGAGGACAGCUCUCAAAUCUACCCAGAAACAGUGAGACCCAGGACUUUGAAAGAUUUUGGGGGUCAAACUGCAACUUUGCCACAUUCCCAUUGUGGGAUCUUGGGCAUGUUGCUUAACCUUUUGGAACUCAGUUUUCCCACUAUGAAAUGGGGAUAUUUACACACAUGUAAGAAUUUAUGUAAGUAACAAUGUUUAUAAAUUUAGGAAUUCAUCAUUUACCAGAUAUUCUUUAUGUGUCAGGCACUGUGCUAAGCACUUUGCAUGAAUUGUCUUGUUUGAUGUUUAUAAUAACCUUUCAAUAGAGGAGGCAUUAUCUCUAUUUUACAAAUAAAGAAACAGAGGCUCAGAAA